CCUUUCCAGUUGCACUUACAGCUCUGCCAUAGCUUGAAAAUUUUGAAAAACUAGAGACCAGAUCUAUUCUGCAGUGCUUGAAAGGACAACAUAUCCCAGAGCAACCUCCCCAAACUGCUUGCAAAUCAGUUGUUAAAAAUCUGUUCGAAGAGAAGAAACAACUUUAUUUUCCCUAUUUAAGUGCUCCACAGCCUCCCCUUUCCCCUGUAUGCCCUGUGCCAGUCUGCGGGAGCACUCAGGCUUCUGGAACAGGAGACAGCCCUGGCCACUAACCCACCUCUGCUGGGUGUUCAGCAGCACACGGCCUAUCAAUUCGCAACAAAUGCACAGAAUAUUUGGAAAACAAGGCUUUGCAUUUCAGGUAAAAUGAUGUGUUUUUAAAAACUGUAUUUCAAUCAGAGAUUUUGCUUAAGAAACAAGCAACCAGCAAAGCUGCUUCCCUCAGCAGGGGAAAAAUCAAAAGUUUAUGACACUGUUUCUAUUUUUCGACUAAUAUAUAAAGCUGUCAGGGUAAUGCACAGCUGAAUAAUGACAAUUAAUCCAUUAGGCUUCAGUUUAUUCAAAACCAUAGAAUUAUACUGUGGCAAUCCAUGACUUUUUAGCUAGCAAGAGGUCUCCAUGGUGUCAGCAGCUAUUUGCAGUGCUACAUCCUUCAGAAGCUGCUGCCCAUUGCAGCCCCCAGCUUCCUGGAAAAUCUCCUGCAAAGCCAGCAGUUAGGCAUCACCUAGGCCUUUCUUAGGCUUAAUGUAGUCAGACCUAUCUUAGCAGAAAACCAUUGUACCCAGCUAAAACAGGUUGUUUUACUUCUACAAUAGGUGUUGUUUGUUUGUUUGUUUUAAUAACUGUUCACACAAUUAAUGCAAUCAAUCAAUGCAUUUUUUUGCCAUUUUGUAAACUUGCAAGAGACAGUAGUAUAAAAAAAUGUCAAAUCAGAACAUGCAGAAUAGCUAUGGAACGGUGAGAGCUGUUUGCAGAGCCAUCCAUGUAACAGCUGACACCUGUACUCAAGAAAAACCAAAAUAUUUUCCUUCCUGGGAUUGUAGGUAUAUGUGAUUUAUUGAGAGUUUUUCCUCCAGUAAUAUGGAAAGAGAUAACACUUCAGCUAUUGUGUAUUAAUGUACUUUGCUAUUUUAUCAUAAAAAUGUUACUGCUGUAUAUGCAAUAAGAUUUUAUGUGCAAUAUGUACCGUUCCUACAGCAGAUGCUUUUAAGACUCCGUUUUUCACUUAGGAAAUUUUCAAAAAUUAUAUCUGCAAUUAUUUUUUAUGAAAAAAACCUUGAAGUCA
rnacentral:lncRNA from 1 species